GGGCGCUUGGCACAGUGGUAGCGCGCAUGCUUUGCACGUCGGGGUCAUGUGACUGAACACGGUGCCAAUGUGACUUGCAUGAGGUCGAGGGUUCAAACCCCUCAGCGUCCA